ensembl:Mt_tRNA
UAAACUGAAGCCAAAUGUUAAGGCGCUUAGCUGUUAAUUAAGAAAUAGUAGGAUAAAAACCUUCCGGUUUAG